rnacentral:rRNA from 1 species
UACGUAGGGUGCAAGCGUUAAUCGGAAUUACUGGGCGUAAAGCGUGCGCAGGCGGUUAUGUAAGACAGAUGUGAAAUGCCCAGGCUUAACCUGGGAACUGCAUUUGUGACUGCAUGGCUAGAGUUUGGCAGAGGGGGGUAGAAUUCCACGUGUAGCAGUGAAAUGCGUAGAUAUGUGGAGGAACACCGAUGGCGAAGGCAGCCCCCUGGGUCAAGACUGACGCUCAUGCACGAAAGCGUGGGGAGCAAACAGG